UUAGAGUUUGAUCCUGGCUCAGAUUGAACGCUGGCGGCAGGCCUAACACAUGCAAGUCGAGCGGAUGAGGGGAGCUUGCUCCCUGAUUUAGCGGCGGACGGGUGAGUAAUGCCUAGGAAUCUGCCUGGUAGUGGGGGAUAACGUUCCGAAAGGAACGCUAAUACCGCAUACGUCCUACGGGAGAAAGCAGGGGACCUUCGGGCCUUGCGCUAUCAGAUGAGCCUUAGGUCGGAUUAGCUAGUUGGUGAGGUAAUGGCUCACCAAGGCGACGAUCCGUAACUGGUCUGAGAGGAUGAUCAGUCACACUGGAACUGAGACACGGUCCAGACUCCUACGGGAGGCAGCAGUGGGGAAUAUUGGACAAUGGGCGAAAGCCUGAUCCAGCCAUGCCGCGUGUGUGAAGAAGGUCUUCGGAUUGUAAAGCACUUUAAGUUGGGAGGAAGGGCAUUAACCUAAUACGUUAGUGUUUUGACGUUACCAACAGAAUAAGCACCGGCUAACUUCGUGCCAGCAGCCGCGGUAAUACGAAGGGUGCAAGCGUUAAUCGGAAUUACUGGGCGUAAAGCGCGCGUAGGUGGUUCGUUAAGUUGGAUGUGAAAGCCCCGGGCUCAACCUGGGAACUGCAUCCAAAACUGGCGAGCUAGAGUACGGUAGAGGGUGGUGGAAUUUCCUGUGUAGCGGUGAAAUGCGUAGAUAUAGGAAGGAACACCAGUGGCGAAGGCGACCGCCUGGACUGAUACUGACACUGAGGU
rnacentral:rRNA from 1 species